rnacentral:lncRNA from 1 species
AACCAUCAUCUUCGUGUCUCGAACCCUAGGAGUCCCUGCCUCCAAUCGUGGCCCCCUGUCCCUGUGUGGUACCCGUGUUCUCCGUCAACGAACCCUCGAUUCACAGUGGAGCCCUAGGACUCCUAUUCUCGUACUCUGAGGUCAAUGCCACCUUCUUUCGGUCUCGGUGAGUCUGUGGUGAGUCCUUAAUGUUCUUCCUUUAAUGUAUAACUUUCUUCAGUUGAUGUGUAGUCAUUUAAUGUUGCGGUGAUUCACUGAGAAGAGAAGUUUGGUUGUCUAGCCAUCUCUUAGUGUUCGUUGUUGUAGAUUUAGCCAUCUCUCAGUGUUCCUUGUUGUAGAUUUGGUCAGAAGAAGAAGUUUGGUUGUCUAACCUCCACCGUACACCUCUCCCGCGUUGGCUUUCCCCUGAAACCCUACCCUAAAAUUGAAAAAUCGGAAAAUCCUAAUGUGUUUGAAUGAGGGAUUGAAUGUGAAAUGGCUUCGAAGUUGAAAACGUGUUUCAUUCAAUUACUAAGAAACUCCAAGAACUUGUUAUCCAAACGAAAGAAUUGAAGCUUGAUUGAGGGAAUUUGAAUAGGUUUGCUAAGAAGGGAGCCUUAAUGUAUUUGAAUAUCAAUCACGAUAAACAUAUAUGGCCUACAAAGAACAGAGUGAACAUGAGGUUAUUUCUCACUAACAAGUCUGGUGUAUUCAUGGAAAUUAACCUGAGCUUUUUAUAUGCCUUGCUGAUUUCAAUAUUUAGAUCUGUGGUAUUGAUGUUUCACACUUUUGCCCCUUUCAGGAAAAACAAUCGCUUGAGAUUUGGCAGCUGCUAUUGCCUAUUGUGUAUGGUUUUUUAGAAAUUGUGGUGCUAUCUCAAACAUAUGUUCGUACUCUUACUGGUGUAGCUCUUCGUGUUAUUCGUGAUCC